rnacentral:rRNA from 3 species
CGACCUUGAAAUACCACCCUUUAAUGUUUGAUGUUCUAACGUGGACCCGUGAUCCGGGUUGCGGACAGUGUCUGGUGGGUAGUUUGACUGGGGCGGUCUCCUCCUAAAGAGUAACGGAGGAGCACGAAGGUUGGCUAAUCCUGGUCGGACAUCAGGAGGUUAGUGCAAUGGCAUAAGCCAGCUUGACUGCGAGCGUGACGGCGCGAGCAGGUGCGAAAGCAGGUCAUAGUGAUCCGGUGGUUCUGAAUGGAAGGGCCAUCGCUCAACGGAUAAAAGGUACUCCGGGGAUAACAGGCUGAUACCGCCCAAGAGUUCAUAUCGACGGCGGUGUUUGGCACCUCGAUGUCGGCUCAUCACAUCCUGGGGCUGAAGUAGGUCCCAAGGGUAUGGCUGUUCGCCAUUUAAAGUGGUACGCGAGCUGGGUUUAGAACGUCGUGAGACAGUUCGGUCCCUAUCUGCCGUGGGCGCUGGAGAACUGAGGGGGGCUGCUCCUAGUACGAGAGGACCGGAGUGGACGCAUCACUGGUGUUCGGGUUGUCAUGCCAAUGGCACUGCCCGGUAGCUAAAUGCGGAAGAGAUAAGUGCUGAAAGCAUCUAAGCACGAAACUUGCCCCGA